rnacentral:rRNA from 1 species
AAACCCAACCUUUUGAGGUUAUUGUGUGCUGAAUUCAUAGGCAUAUAAGGCGAACCUGGAGAACUGAAACAUCUAAGUACCCAGAGGAAAAGAAAUCAACCGAGAUUCCGUCAGUAGCGGUGAGCGAAAGCGGAACAGCCCAGUUACUAAAUCAUUAUUGGCUUUAGCAGAAUGUUCUGGAAAGUUCAGCCAUAGUGGGUAAUAGCCCCGUAUAUAAAAGGGUUAAUAAUGUGGGUAACGAUGAGUAGGUCGGGACACGUGAAAUCUUGACUGAAUAUGGGGGGACCAUCCUCCAAGGCUAAAUACUCCUUACUGACCGAUAGCGAACUAGUACCGUAAGGGAAAGGUGAAAAGAACCCCAGCAAGGGGAGUGAAAUAGAACCUGAAACCGUAUGCGUACAAGCAGUCAAAGCACUUCUUCGGAAGUGUGAUGGCGUACCUUUUGUAUAAUGGGUCAGCGACUUACUUGUUGUAGCAAGCUUAACCGUAUAGGGGAGGCGUAGAGAAAUCGAGUCUAAAAUGGGCGUUUAGUUGCAAC